AGUCCAGUUUUACAUACAAUGCAAUCCAUUACUUUUAUGCGUACAGCUCAGUGGUUCUUGAAGAAUGACGAGAUAUAUGACAGCCCACUUCCAGCAGCAAGAUAUAGAAUAUAUCCAUCACCCCCAAAAUCUCACUUGCAUCUACUCCUAGCCUCUCCCCUCCCUGGUGGACAGUCCCUGGAGAUCUCAUGUCUGCUUUAUGUCAUGCCCACCAUGUGUGUUGCCUGACCUGACCUCAUGGCACCUCCUGUAUUGCAUGUGUAGACAGUUUGAUCCUUUCCGUGGCUAAGUGUCUGCUUGUGAUGACAUCACACAUCUCAUUCCUUGUCAAAGAGUCUGGUCCUUGCCUCUAAGAGGGAUCUCUGGACAUCACUGGUUUGGGCUUCAAGCUUUGCCAGCCCACCUAUAUGCAAAUUAUUUCUUUGGGAUUCGUGAGGAUUUGAGAAACCUCUGCAUAUGACACUCAAGCCCGGAAAACUAUAGAAAGUUAAGAAAAAGUCAGGUGUGUCAUGAAUCCGUAAAAUAUAUGCAGACAAUCGUCUGUUUGAUCGUUGACUACCAUAAAAUGUACACACCUAUUAUAAGAAGUUAUGCAUUCUCAAAACUCACGCAGCCAGGCAUCCACAGAUGGUGCGUGACACCAUUUGCAGUCAGGAGAAAUGUAAACAAGCAUAAAGCUGCCAUGUAAAUCAAAGCUGCAUGAAGGGAACCGGCGUGGCUUCUGAACUGCUCUGAUGGUUUUUCUAAACCCGUCACCUUUGUGGGCAGCUAGAACUCAGACCUGGGUUUGUAUGCCCGUGGGGAGUCAGCGCCUGUACUUUGGCUGUUCUUUUAGGCAAAUAUGAAGGUAAAAUGGUUCUGACCAUUUGUGUGUACAAUGAUAAGCCACCCAGAAUAGCGGCUGAGUUAGUUUACAUUGCUGACAGAUACACAAAAGGGGAUCUGUUUGGGGUCCCCCCUCAAGGCCUCACAACUGGUUGUUAAUGUCUAAAAGCCAUGCCUGUCUGAGAGACAGCAUUGUGGCUUCUUGUUAGUGUGUGUUUCCUGGGUAACUAGUGUGGCCCCUCCCCCCAUUCCCUGCCUGACUGAAAUUCCUGAGGUGGGCAGGGGCUUCUUGAAAAGUCAUUACUGCUUUUUCAGUUUGCAUAUUGUUCUUUGGUUUGGGUUUUCUUUUCUGUCUUGCAUCUUUGCUGCUAUGUGUAGGAAAACCUUUCCUGCCUCCUGGUAAGUCCUGGCACUGUCAUUACUUUUUUUCACACUGAAAUCUAAAAUUCACCUAUAAUUUUCAUUGUAUGAUAGGGAUGAAAAUGCAUUGCUCCUCAGCGUCGUUAUGGCAUGGUAUUUCUGUUUUAGCCAGUGCAUCUGAAAGGCAGUUUUAAAUGACUGUCACAGCUUGCGUGGUAUGUUCUGGGGCCCCCUCCCUGUCCUGUUUCCUUGGAUAUAUAGCCUAAUGGAAAUCACACUUUUGUUUAUUACAAAUGUAUACAUUUAUUUUGAAGAUUUUUAAAAAACAUAUGUGUAUGUGUCUGUAUGUAUGGAUGUGUGUAAAUGCAUGCAGUACCCUUAGCAGUUAGAAGAGGGUGCCAGACACCUCAGGGAAGAAGUUAGAGCUGGUAUCAGCUGCCCCAUGUAGGUCCCCUGCAAGAGCAGGAAAGUGUCUUUAACCACUGAGCUCUCUCCAGCCCAGGAGACAUGUCUUUGAUUUCCUGUCUUGCUGUUUUCCAAAAUGGCCUUAACAGUUCUAGCUCAUUUCUUAAAAUCCAGUUAAAAUGUAGUUACUUGACGUUCUAAGGAACAUACUCUCUGUCUAGAUUUGUUUGAAAACCAUUGAAUUUAAACUUCUGGAAGGAUGGUCACCUUUAAAGAAACAUGACUCUUCCUUCUAUGUGUCAUAGAUCUCUGUAGGUCUUCACUUUGUGUAGAUUGCUUUGCCUGUUAGGCUUUAACUGGUGGUUUCAUACACACACACACACACACACACACACACACACAUACUCACUCAGUGCACCAGGCCAAGUACUACUUGUUUCUCUUGUCCUUACCAAUAAGUCCUAACCUUCUUGUCCAUGGUGAUCCAACUCACAUGAGCCAGUUUUCUUCUGUUGGGCAUCACAAGUGCCCCACAAAAACACAUGUCAGGUGGAAGCCCCAGCUCAGCCCAGCUGCCUCCUGGCUUCCCCUCCUCUUAACAAUUCCUGGUGUCCCAUUCUGUCACCCUGGAUCCCUCCUGUUCCUCCAGCCCAGUUACCAGCCUCAGUUCUUCCAUUUGUGCUGCUUCUGUUCUAUUCCCUUUGCCCCAGCCACCUGCACCAGCCUCACUCCCUAUAUUAACUAGGGUUUCAUUAAUAUAAUAAAACACCAGGAUCAAAAGCACCCUAAGAAGGAAAGAGCUUGUUUCAUCUUAUACCUCCACAUCACGCCUAUCAUCAAAGGAAGUCAGGGUUGGAAUCUGGAGGCAGGCACUGAAGCAGAAUCCAUGAAUGGAUGUUGCUUAGUCGCUUGCUCUACAUCAAUUGCUCAACUUGCUUCUUUGUACCAACCUGGAUCUCAGGCGUAGGGUGCACCGCCCCUCAGUGGUCUGGGCCCUUCCACACCUACCAUUAGUCAAGAAAAGGCCCCCAGACUUGUAUGGGCAGCUUGAUUGACAGCCUGUACUUUCUCAAUUGAGUUUCCUCUUUAUAUACCUCUAACUUGUGUCAAGUUG
rnacentral:lncRNA from 1 species